rnacentral:rRNA from 1 species
GACGAACGCUGGCGGCGUGCUUAACACAUGCAAGUCGAACGGAAAGGCCUUUUCUGAGUUACUCGAGUGGCGGACGGGUGCGUAACACGUGGGUGAUCUUCCCUGCACUCUGGGAUAAGCCUGUGAAACUGGGUCUAAUACCGGAUAGGACCGCACUUUAGUUGGUGUGGUGGAAAUGGUUUUCUGUGUAGGAUGAGCCCGCGGCCUAUCAGCUUGUUGGUGGGGUAAUGGCCUACCAAGGCGGCGACGGGUAGCCGGACUGAGAGGUUGUGCGGCCACAUUGGGACCGAGAGAAGGCCCAGACGCCUACGGGAGGCAGAAGGGGGGAAUAUUGCACAAUGGGCGCAAGGCUGAUGCAGCGACGGCGCGGGGGGGAUGAAGGCCUUCGGGUUGUAAAAUCCUUUCGCCAGGGACGAAGCGUUUUGUGACGGUACCUGGAGAAGAAGCACCGGCUAACUACGUG